GGUUAAGCGACUAAGCGUACACGGUGGAUGCCCUGGCAGUCAGAGGCGAUGAAGGACGUGCUAAUCUGCGAAAAGCGUCGGUAAGGUGAUAUGAACCGUUAUAGCCGGCGAUGUCCGAAUGGGGAAACCCAGUGCAAUUCGUUGCACUAUCGUUAACUGAAUACAUAGGUUAACGAGGCGAACCGGGGGAACUGAAACAUCUAAGUACCCCGAGGAAAAGAAAUCAACCGAGAUUCCCCCAGUAGCGGCGAGCGAACGGGGAGCAGCCCGGAGUCUGAAUCAGCUUGUGUGUUAGUGGAAGCGUCUGGAAAGUCGCAGGGUACAGGGUGAUACUCCCGUACACUAAAACACACAGGCUGUGAACUCGAAGAGUAGGGCGGGACACGUGGUAUCCUGUCUGAAUAUGGGGGGACCAUCCUCCAAGGCUAAAUACUCCUGACUGACCGAUAGUGAACCAGUACCGUGAGGGAAAGGCGAAAAGAACCCCGGCGAGGGGAGUGAAAAAGAACCUGAAACCGUGUACGUACAAGCAGUAGGAGCCUCUUUAUGGGGUGACUGCGUACCUUUUGUAUAAUGGGUCAGCGACUUAUAUUCUGUAGCAAGGUUAACCGUAUAGGGGAGCCGCAGGGAAACCGAGUCUUAACUGGGCGUUAAGUUGCAGGGUAUAGACCCGAAACCCGGUGAUCUAGCCAUGGGCAGGUUGAAGGUUGGGUAACACUAACUGGAGGACCGAACCGACUAAUGUUGAAAAAUUAGCGGAUGACUUGUGGCUGGGGGUGAAAGGCCAAUCAAACCGGGAGAUAGCUGGUUCUCCCCGAAAGCUAUUUAGGUAGCGCCUCGUGAACUCAUCUUCGGGGGUAGAGCACUGUUUCGGCUAGGGGUCAUCCCGACUUACCAACCCGAUGCAAACUACGAAUACCGAAGAAUGUUAUCACGGGAGACACACGGCGGGUGCUAACGUCCGUCGUGAAGAGGGAAACAACCCAGACCGCCAGCUAAGGUCCCAAAGUCAUGGUUAAGUGGGAAACGAUGUGGGAAGGCCCAGACAGCCAGGAUGUUGGCUUAGAAGCAGCCAUCAUUUAAAGAAAGCGUAAUAGCUCACUGGUCGAGUCGGCCUGCGCGGAAGAUGUAACGGGGCUAAACCAUGCACCGAAGCUGCGGCAGCGACACUAUGUGUUGUUGGGUAGGGGAGCGUUCUGUAAGCCGUUGAAGGUGGCCUGUGAGGGUUGCUGGAGGUAUCAGAAGUGCGAAUGCUGACAUAAGUAACGAUAAUGCGGGUGAAAAACCCGCACGCCGGAAGACCAAGGGUUCCUGUCCAACGUUAAUCGGGGCAGGGUGAGUCGACCCCUAAGGCGAGGCCGAAAGGCGUAGUCGAUGGGAAACAGGUUAAUAUUCCUGUACUCGGUGUUACUGCGAAGGGGGACGGAGAAGGCUAUGUUGGCCGGGCGACGGUUGUCCCGGUUUAAGCAUGUAGGCGGAUGUUCCAGGUAAAUCCGGAACGUUAUCAACGCUGAGGUGUGAUGACGAGGCACUACGGUGCUGAAGUGACAAAUGCCCUGCUUCCAGGAAAAGCCUCUAAGCAUCAGGUAACAUCAAAUCGUACCCCAAACCGACACAGGUGGUCAGGUAGAGAAUACCAAGGCGCUUGAGAGAACUCGGGUGAAGGAACUAGGCAAAAUGGUGCCGUAACUUCGGGAGAAGGCACGCUGAUAUGUAGGUGAAGUGGUUUACCCAUGGAGCUGAAAUCAGUCGAAGAUACCAGCUGGCUGCAACUGUUUAUUAAAAACACAGCACUGUGCAAACACGAAAGUGGACGUAUACGGUGUGACGCCUGCCCGGUGCCGGAAGGUUAAUUGAUGGGGUUAUCCGUAAGGAGAAGCUCUUGAUCGAAGCCCCGGUAAACGGCGGCCGUAACUAUAACGGUCCUAAGGUAGCGAAAUUCCUUGUCGGGUAAGUUCCGACCUGCACGAAUGGCGUAAUGAUGGCCAGGCUGUCUCCACCCGAGACUCAGUGAAAUUGAACUCGCUGUGAAGAUGCAGUGUACCCGCGGCAAGACGGAAAGACCCCGUGAACCUUUACUAUAGCUUGACACUGAACACUGGUCCUUGAUGUGUAGGAUAGGUGGGAGGCUUUGAAGCGUGGACGCCAGUCUGCGUGGAGCCAUCCUUGAAAUACCACCCUUUAAUGGCUGGUGUUCUAACGUGGGCCCGUUAUCCGGGUUGCGGACAGUGUCUGGUGGGUAGUUUGACUGGGGCGGUCUCCUCCUAAAGAGUAACGGAGGAGCACGAAGGUCAGCUAAUCCUGGUCGGACAUCAGGAGGUUAGUGCAAUGGCAUAAGCUGGCUUGACUGCGAGCGUGACGGCGCGAGCAGGUGCGAAAGCAGGUCAUAGUGAUCCGGUGGUUCUGAAUGGAAGGGCCAUCGCUCAACGGAUAAAAGGUACUCCGGGGAUAACAGGCUGAUACCGCCCAAGAGUUCAUAUCGACGGCGGUGUUUGGCACCUCGAUGUCGGCUCAUCACAUCCUGGGGCUGAAGUAGGUCCCAAGGGUAUGGCUGUUCGCCAUUUAAAGUGGUACGCGAGCUGGGUUUAGAACGUCGUGAGACAGUUCGGUCCCUAUCUGCCGUGGGCGCUGGAGAAUUGAGGGGGCUGCUCCUAGUACGAGAGGACCGGAGUGGACGCAUCACUGGUGUUCGGGUUGUCAUGCCAAUGGCAUUGCCCGGUAGCUAAAUGCGGAAGAGAUAAGUGCUGAAAGCAUCUAAGCACGAAACUUGCCCCGAGAUGAGUUCUCCCUGACUCCUUGAGAGUCCUGAAGGAACGUUGAAGACGACGACGUUGAUAGGCCGGGUGUGUAAGCGCAGCGAUGCGUUGAGCUAACCGGUACUAAUGAACCGUGAGGCUUAACCUU
rnacentral:rRNA from 1 species